rnacentral:lncRNA from 13 species
GUUUGUAAACAAAGUGCGUCUUUCUGCUUCCAGCAGUGUUUGCUUUCUCCGGACACUGCCGACACAGCCUCACCUAAGACGUUAAAAACACCCAGACUACCUUUCCAGACUCACAGCCGCUUCUACUUAAAUUCCGUAGAAUACGGAGGCAAGUGUGUUUCCUAAUAAUUAACUGAAUUUGCCGGACACAUCCUGCUGGAGAGACCUGGUGGGGGUAACCGUCAUGUUUAAUUUGGUGCUCAGCCAAGACCAGCCGUCAUCUCAGAAAACGAGUUUCAGAUUAGUCUGUAUUUUAUUUUCUUCUUGUUCCGAGAUGUUUACACUUCCAAUCAGGUAAUAGUAUCAUGGGUGAAAUCAGGUGUUCCCCCAGGAGGAGUCCUGGGUUCUGAAUAAGGAACUCAACCUCAAGCUAUCAGGGUGAGCUCACAUUCACUCUGCCUCUCUCCAUUUUCACGCCUGUGUCGUGACCAGGCUGCAUCUCCAAGGUUCAGUUGAGCUCAACAUUUCUAUGAUGCCAUUCAUACAUCUGUUACCAUUCACAGCAGGACCUGCUUGUCAUCUUGGGCUAUUCAACCUCCAGUCUGUAUUUGGAUGAAAUGUGCUUUGAAACUAUGUUUAAGGAUUAUCCUAGGGCAAAACUCAAAUGGGGUGCUGCGUAGCAGUGCAGCUCUAAAAUGGAAUUGCUUUAUACUCUCAGAGAUCAAAAUGAACAUAACCAUGAAGAAACUUAUUCUCGUUUCAUGGUGAGGCAAUGGUUAGCCACAGCAUAACCCUCUUAGUCAGUUUGCCUUGUGCUGGGUAUAUAGUCCGGAAAAUAGAUACGAUUUCUGCCACGCAUUACAGUGUUUAUCAAAUGCAGAAAGGUUUUGCACAGUACAACUGUAAGUAUUUCUCUUCGGAAUUGAAAUGGUUUGUCCAUUCUGUGACAUCAAGACUAGGAAUUCUCAUUGUUCUCUGCUCUUUCCCCACAGACACGACUGUAACUGGAAGCUGACACAAUCCAGAAAGAGCAAUGAAUGUAGAGUCAGAAAAUCUACAGAAGAAUCAACCUCCUCUGUGCCGGGAGGUGACCCGAGGUCAGCUUCACGGCUCCUGGAGGUUUCAGAGUGUGUGACGAUGAAGCAAAAUGUCAUGAUCUCAGUGUCUCAUCCUGAAAUAUGAAGCACGGAACAACACUUCACACCACGCCCUGCAAUCAGGUGCUCAUGCACUUGUGAAUUUCCGUUUAGGGAUGAUAUGCUAAGCCAGCGAUUGCUUUCCUGAUGGUCAUGCUUACUACACUUCACACAGCUCUCCUAAUCUGGCUUAGGCUGCUCUGUAUUAUGAGUCUAUCUCUUUAAGACAGUGGUCCCCAGCCUUCUUGGCACCAGGGACUGCUUUUGUGGAAGACAAUUUUUCCACAGACUCAUCGGGGAUGGUUUCAGGAUGAUUAAACUACAUUACAUUUAUUGUGAACUUUAUUUCUAUUACUAUAUUGUAAUAUACAGUGAAAUAAUUAUACAACUCACCAUAAUGUGAAGCAGUGGGAGCCCUGAGCGUGUGUUCCUGCAACUAGAUGGUCCCAUCUAGGGGUGAUGGGACAGUGACAGAUCAUCAGGAAUUAGAUUCUCAUAAGGAGUGUGCAACAGCAGAGAUCCCACGCAUGCACAGUUCACAGUAGGGUUUGGGCUCCCAUGAGACUCUAAUGCCACCACUGAUCUGACAGGAGGUGGAGCUCAGGCAGUGAUGCGAAUGAUGGCCAGUGACUGUAAAUGCAGAUGAAGCUCUGCUUGCUGGCAGCUGCUCACCUCCUGCAGCCAGGUACUGAUCCAUGGCCAGGGGGUUGGGGACCUCUGCUUUAGGGUACACUCUUGGAUUCCAUAAAAAUAAUUUCAUAUGGCUCCAGAAUUCAAGAGGAAUUUUAUUUGUGUAUGUAUUAUCUUAUUACAUUUCAGCUUUCAUUUUAAUAACCAUUAUUAUUAUAAUAUUACUAUGAUUAGUAUUAUUGUUAUAAAGAAG